CCUGCUUAUUGCAUAAAUGCAUAAUAUAAUUAUUGCGCAGUAUAAUGGUUAAAUGUACAUACGUAUAGUCAAGUCCAGCGGUGAAACGAAAACGAUCUAUUAAAAGCAGUUGCUUCUCGAUUAUUUUUAAGAUUUAGGGGUGGGCGAAUGCUAUAUAUGAAAAUAACUAAAUAUUAGUAUCGACUCGUUUAUGAAUAAUUUAGUGAAAAUAUUGUGAAUCUUGGGAUAUAUUGUUUCGUGUUUGGUGAGUAUUUUAUACUAGUAACUAAAAUAUACGUUUAUGCUGACAGUCUGUAUUAUUUGUUUGUAUUUUAAUACGGCCUCUUGGCCUAUAAACCCCUCGCCCUCACUUGGGUACGCUACUGCAUACUAUGAUAUUAUACGUUAACUUAUGUUUUAAUUUAAAAUAUUCAUAAAUUGGUAAGUAGUUAUUUAGGUUUGGGUAGUUGUCUAGUUUUAUGACAUGGGUAUUUGAUAUAAUUUUUUUUUCAAAUUAAUUUUGUACACAUAUAGGUAUUAAUUUGAACAAGCAAAACACGAUAUUUCUAAAUUUCUAAAGACAUAAUAUAAGAUUUUUAUCAAUAAUUGAACCCUUGUGCUCUUGUAACAUUUGCAUAUUUGUUUUGUACUAUUAGAAAAAUAGCAGAGUAAGAAACAAAUACGUUUAAUUGCUAAGAAAAAAAAUUAAUUUUUAAUUUAAUUUUACAUAAUAUAAAUGCAUUUAUUUGGUUUUUGUUGUUUUUAGAGCAUAUUUCUUCUAUUUUAUGUUUUUUGAGCUAUAUUUUAUUUAAUUGUAUCAAUAUUUUUCUCAAUGAUGUUUUUAUUUCAUUCAGUUUUACAAUAAAAAUGUUUAGAUUUAAAAUUAUUUUUAAUUUUUAUCAUAUAACAUGAUUGUUACUGUUUCCUCGCCCCUCGACCCGUGAUACACCGAUACAUUCACUUUCUAGUGUUCUGUGAUUCUAAACGGUUGACUACGCGUUUUAAUUUAUUUUUAUUCACAAAAUGCCUUAAGUUAAAUUAUUAACAUCAAUCUUAGUAAUUAAAUAAUGAUGUGUCUGAAUUCGGUCCUAAAGUGUUAAAUGAUUAUGUGUUAAUUUUGGACAUUUUAAAAACAGAAAUACUUUUUUGUUAUUUUGAAAAUUGGAAGAAGUAUCUGCAAGUUAACUGCCUAAGGAAAAUAAAUUUAGUAAAUAUAUUUGGAAAAAAAAAAAUCAAUCUUGUUUUCAAUUUCAAACUGCUUAUUUUGAGUUAUAUUAUUUUAUACAUAAAUGCUUAUUUUAAGUAUUUAAGUGCAUAUUUGGUAUAGCUUUUUAGAACUAAAAGUCCUCUACCCUAAUGAUAACUGAUGAUAAUAUGCACACAUUAAUCAUAGUGAACACGAUAUUUUGUCAACACUGUAGGUUCCUACAUGCUUAAUAUUUAUUCCUACAUUAUUAAAGAACUGAAAUAAAAAUAUAUAUCAUUUAGAUAUUGUAAUAUAUUUUACGUUAUUUUGAACACGAUUGAACAUAUUAUAUGCUGCCACUGCAGCUGUCCGUCAUGAUCGUGAUGUAGAUCGUAUAUUUGAAUCGAAACAAUAAUAACGAUGCGAUGCAUUUAUUAUACAAGGUCGUAAAUAACAAAAAUAUUCUAAUAUGUUCUUAUUAUGUAAAUCCGUGUCGUAUUUUUACGAAUUCGACGCUCGGACGCAUUAUAAUGCUAUAUAUAUACUACCUAUAUCAUACUCUGUUAUACGGAUUUUACAGAUUUUUUUUUUGAUUCUGAGCUAUUUAGUUUUACUAUUAUGCGUGUUUUUUGCCAGAAAACAUUUUUCCGAUCAUCAACUAUGUAUAAUAUAUCCUGUAUACUUUCCCAACUGCCCAACUACAACAGUGGCGCAACCAUCAACAACAGGUUUCAGAUCUUUUUUUUUAGACAUUUCAUCGGAAGAAGGAUAAUCGCGGUAUAUUCCGUCGUAAUAAUACUUUUGGCACGAACAUCAUCGAAUCAUAUUACCCAUACACACAAAUGCAUAGGUAUAUGUAUACACUUGUGAAUUUAUAAUGACCCUGGGAUUUUACGGUUGCGCGUGUAAUGACGUUACCGCAAGAUCUUUGUCGGACCAAACGUAAAACAUCACGUAGAUUUCGACCGUAAACUAUGUAUACACAUAUUCUAUAUUGUAAUAAAUGGCCAGAAAUAUUAUUAUGUUUCAAGUAUACGCACUUCGUUUAACUGAAUAGUAUACCUAGGUAUUUAAUAUUUAUAUUCGACGGUCGGUAAACCUAGCUAAUAAUCUUUAUUGCGGAAAAUAAAUUCACAAUCGGGUUAGCGUUUACAUUUAAAUUGUUUGUACGCAUAAGCGUCAUUACGGGAUGGCGAGAGGUCGCAUCUGUCACUCCACCAUUUUUAUUGGGGUAGAAAAUCAAUAUCUCUGAGUAUUUUUUUUUUUAGGACACGAUCGCAUUAAUUUUAAUAUACUAUUGGC
rnacentral:lncRNA from 1 species